AUGCUCCCAGGGAAGGUUGCUCUUCUCAGGAUUGUGUUUUGGAGAAUGUCCCAGCAUCUCUUCCAGGAAACCUGCAAACCAGCUGCGAGUGCAGUGAAAUUGGGUGGUUAUUCAAUGCAGGAGUCCUCAUUCAAUUUUUUACCUGUUUGUAGGUCCCAGAUGUUGGAUUUUUGGCUGUCCAUUCCAACUAUCUGUGAGUCCCUAGCACUUUUGCCAGUGUCAAGGCACAUGCUCCCAGAUAAUAUGAAUUAUGAAGAUACAGGCAAAAAAAAAUUAUGCAGUAUAUCAAUUCAUAGAGUCCAAUAUUAAUGUAUUAAAAUACUAAUUGCUGUACCAAAUUAACCCUCCUACUUGUGCAGAAGCAAAACUCCUUGACAAUGUAGUUUCUUAAAAAAAGAGAAAAUCGAACCUCUUUUAAAACAGGUUUUCUUCAGCUUUUCUUUUUUUUUCUUUUUUUUUUUCUUUUUCUUCUUUUUUUUUUUUUUCCAAAACAACAUUUUACCAAUAGUGUCAUGGUUAAAUGAACUUGAAACAAUAAGGUAAUUUUGAAUGGAAAACUGUUAUCUUGACAUUGACUUUUCAUGUGCAAAGAGAGAAUGGUCCAUCGGAAAAGGAGAAGGAAAAAGUGCACUAAGAAGGAUCAAUGCCUUGCAGAUGUUUAUCUGGGGGAUUUUUGAUGAUGUUUUUGGUGCAAUUCCAUGACUGUUAUUUUCCCUUAAAAUACAUGAAAAUGCUUAAUUAUGCUUAAAUGAAAAUGCUUACAGUACACACCCAGAUGCUCCAUUUGGGAUGCCUUUCAACCUCCACUUGCCCUUUUGAAUAGAGAAAUGGCCAGACAUUUAUGAGAGGUUCCAGCAUUGUCUUUUGUCCGGCAGCACAGCAGGGUGCCCCAUCUCCCACACAUCAAAGACCAGCCUUUCCCUCCCCAGGGUCUCCUCAAUCCCCUCGUUGCUCCAUGAAACAUCCUCAUCUCCUUCCCCACAUCUUCCCACCAUGCCUCCCACAGAAUUGCUGCUGCCCUUCUUCCUCCUCCUCAUUCUAUUCCUCUUCCUCCUCUUCAUGCCCUGCCUCUGCCACCGUACUGGAAUCUUCCUUUUCCCAUUUCAGGUGAUUUCAGGUUUCUUAGCAAAAAAUGCGUAAGUUAUAGGAAAAUAGCAAUGAUUUGAUUUAAUCACGCUUACUCCCUUCUGAGAAGGCAUCUAUUUCAUAUAACAUUUUUUUUUUUUAAGUCUGUGGUCUCCCAUCAUCUUUUAAUAGAAGAGGGUCACAGGGAAAAAUGUAGCUCAAAACACAUCCAGAAAAUUUCACAGCCUUUCACAGGGAAAGACUGUCCUGUGUUAUGUUUUGAUUUCUGUUCAGGGGAGGAGGUGGUGGUGCUGUUCAUCUCAUCUAAGUACGUACCACUGCUACAAACUUAUAUUUAGACAGUUCCUGAUCCCAGCUGUCUCUAAACUAGAAUAUAGGUGUGCAUCACUUGUAGCAAAUGGGGACUUGUCAUCUGUUCCAACUGGAUGCAAUUGACUUGCAAGACCUAAAAACUGUUGGACCAAUAUGUGAACACAGCCACUGAAAAUAUCCUUUGCAAAGCAAAAUACUCUGUGAGUUUACGGGUAAGAAGAGUGCACAGGAAGAAAUAAUUUUCUAUGCAACAGAUUGCUGCUGAGUAGUGCAGAGAUUGGAGAAGUCUGGUUUGCUCCUACAGCCUCACCCAUCCCUGCAAUCUUUGAGUCUUUCAAACUCCUGUCCAAUAGCUGAUGUUUUUUCAUCCACUUCAAAGUUCUUUGUUUCAGCAUCCCUGCCAGUAAGCCCCUCAAGGAUACAAGUUACAACUAUACCCUUGUGAAGACAGCCGCACAAUAACACUCCACAGGAUGAGCAAUAAACUGAAGAGGAAUGACA
rnacentral:lncRNA from 1 species